rnacentral:rRNA from 1 species
GACGUAGGGCGCGAGCGUUGUCCGGAUUUAUUGGGCGUAAAGAGCUCGUAGGCGGCUUGUCGCGUCGAUUGUGGAAUCCCGCGGCUCAACUGCGGGUCUGCAGUCGAUACGGGCAGGCUAGAGUUCGGUAGGGAGACGUGGAAUUCCUGGUGUAGCGGUGAAAUGCGCAGAUAUCAGGAGGGAAACACCCGUGGCGAAAGCGGGCUCUCUGGAACGGUACUGACGCUGAGACGCGAAAGCGUGGGAGCGAACAGG